AAGAUAGUUUGCCUUUGUUUUUUGCUGCUAAAACUCAAAAAAUCACAAUCAUAUCCGGCAAUUUUGACAGUGAAAAGUUUGAUAAAGGCGAGGUUUUUAAUACCAUACAGUAAAAGUAUAUUACAUUUCUUCUUAGACAUACCAAAAAUUAGAUUUGAGAUUAGAGACAGAUUAGUUAGCGCCUUGCAAUUUCCAAGUGGUAUCGAAUGGCUUGCAUAUACUGACAAAUUCAUUUCAUACUGGAAUACAACCUGAUCUUUCUGGAAUCAGCGUUUUCACCACUGAGCUGUUGGGAUUUAGGCAGCCUAGUCCCAGUCGUUCUGAAGCAAGCGCGAGAAAAAACGUGGAUGUAGUACGAGACUGAGAUCUAGGUGUGACGUCACCGCUAAAGCGUUCUGCACAGCACACCCAGGCAUAAAACUUUUAAGACUUAUUUAAAUAUAUCAAAGCAGCGAAUAGUGAGAGAGAGCCUGGGACUAGGCUGGGAUUUAGGAAUACCACAUGAUGUAGCUCGCAAAAAUUGGAGACAAAUUGAAUGAUAUAUUUUUUUCAAAUUUAAACUAUAUAUAUAAGAAUAUUCAGGCAAAAUUUGUUUUGUAAAUGUAGAAUAAUUUAAUGGAGAAUUUGUAAAAAGUAUGCAAUAAUGUAAUAUAGUUUAUAUUUUAAAACAAAAUUAAAAAAUAAGAAAUGGAACUCUAUACAGUAAGUCUCAUGCAAUAUGUAUGCUAAUUCAGUGUAUAAUUGUUAUCAUCUUGUAAUAAGAUUGAUGAGGCCAACAGACUCGCAAGUCUGAUAUCGUCUGCACGUUAACCAGUUGUCAACAAGUUGAUGACAACAAGCUCGUAACAACUUGUUCUACGAACAGCCUGUAUUAAUCUUGUUGGAACAACUUGUAGCAAGUCUGUUACCGUCAUCAACCUUGUAACAAGGUGAUAACAACUUGUUCCAGACUUGUCACAACAACUGGGAACAAGCAGUGCGAACACAUCCUGAUAUUGGAUUGACAACAACCUUGUUACAAUUUGUUUGCAGAUCUGUGACAAUUUCUGCGUUUUUUUGGGUGUAGUCUCUAUUCAGGGGCAGAAACUUGGGAUAUAGGGGCGCUUUCCAUUUAAUAACCUGACCGAUCAGACACGAAUUCUUUUCCCUGUGUCAAUGGAAAGAUCUGGUCUAUGUUUCUCAAAUAUCUAGUGAAAAUGGACCUCAUUCUAAUGUUAUCUAAAAUUUCUGGUCAGAUAAGUCCGAAGCCC